CCGCCUUUCAGACUUGGGUCUUGAGGGCCAGUUCCCCCCUGGAAUCCAGAAUUGCACAAGCUUGACUGGCUUGAAUCUUUCGCAGAACCAGCUAUCUGGCUCAAUCCCUGCUAAUAUAGCAAAGUUUAUCCCCUAUAUUACAAACCUUGAUCUUUCAUUCAACAAUUUUUCGGGUGGAAUUCCACAAAAUCUUGCAAAUUGUAGUUUCUUGAAUGAUCUCAAACUUGACAACAACCGGCUAACAAGCAAGAUUCCGCCGGAAUUUGGCCUGCUUGAUCGGAUCAAGGUAUUUACGGUUACCAACAAUCUUCUAUCAGGGCCGAUCCCCUCAUUUAUCCAUAAUAACAUCCCAGCUGAUAGCUUUGCAAAUAAUCUGGACCUCUGUGGGAAGCCAUUGAAUUCCUCCUGUCCAGGUGUCGCAAGGAAAUCCCAUGUUGGAGUAUUUGCUGCAUCAGCCGCUGGCGGGAUAACAUUUACAUCAAUUAUUGUUGGUGUCUUUCUGUUCUUGUCUCGCGGAGCGGCUAAGAAGAAGGCGGAGGAUCCUGAAGGCAACAGAUGGGCAAAGAGCAUCAAGGGAACCAAAGGCAUCAAGGCAAGCUAUCUAGCUCAUCAUGUUCAAUGGAUAUACUGUGUUUUUUUCUGGCAUAGGAAUUGAAUUUCUGUUCUUUUUUCUGGUCAUGCUAACUCAUCGAUGAUUUCAUUUUUUAUUUGACGCAACAAAAUAUCUAACAGCAAAGAUUCUGUUAUCAACAGGUUUCCAUGUUUGAGAAAUCGGUUUCAAAAAUGAGAUUGAGUGAUCUCAUGAAGGCAACCAACGACUUCAGUAAUAACAACAUCAUUGGAGCAGGAAGAACAGGACCGAUGUACAAGGCAGUGAUUUCUGAUGGUUGUUUCCUUAUGCUUAAGAGAUUGCAAGGCUCUCAGCGUUUAGAGAAAGAGUUUGUAUCAGAGAUGAAGACACUUGGGAAUGUGAAACACCGAAAUUUGGUCCCGCUGCUGGGCUUUUGUGUGGCAAAGAGGGAGAGAUUUUUGGUGUAUAAAUUCAUGGAAAAUGGGACCCUUUAUGAUAAACUGCACCCAGUGGAACCUGAGAUCAGGAACAUGGAUUGGUCCCUGAGGCUCAAAAUUGCAAUUGGAGCGGCUAGAGGUUUGGCAUGGCUUCAUUAUGACUGCAAUCCACGAAUUAUCCACAGGAACAUAAGCUCCAAAUGCAUACUCUUGGAUAACGAUUUUGAGCCAAAGUUAUCUGAUUUUGGCCUUGCCAGACUCAUGAACCGAAUCGACACACAUUUGAGAGCUUUUGUCAAUGGGGAGUUUGGGGGGUUGGAUUAUGUUGCUCCUGAAUAUCUAAGGACCCUUGUUGCAACGCCCAAGGGGGAUGUUUAUAGCUUUGGUGUGGUUCUCCUGGAGUUGAUCACUGGUGAAAAGCCCACUCAUGUUGCUAAUGCCCCUGAAAGCUUCAAGGGAAGUUUAGUGGAGUGGAUCAGACAACUGACAGAUGGUCCGCUUCUUCAUACUUCCAUUGACAAGCCUUUGCUUGGAAAUGGAUUCGAUCACGAACUCAACCAGUUUCUUAAAGUUGCUUGUAACUGUGUGGUUGAGAAUGCCAAGGAGAGACCAACAAUGUUUGAGGUGCAUCAGCUCCUCAGAGCUAUUGGGGAGAGAUACCAUUUCACAACUGAAGAUGAUAUUAUGUUGCCAACUGAUACAGGUGACACUGAUUUCCCGGAUGAACUUAUUGUUGCCGAUGCAACAAAGGAAGUUUAAUGAAUAACAGAGGUUAAGAUUGAUAGAAAAGAGUCUGAGGCCAUCAAUCGGCACUCGUGAAAAUAUAUUCUACGUUAUAGCUGUGAUCAUAUAGGUAUAGUGUGAGUGUUUGUAACUAUAUUUGUAGCAUUUCAAGCACCUGCUUUGGUUGAAACACCAACUUUAUAUAUACCGUUGUCCAAUUAUCAUAAAAUCUUGCUCAUUUAUCCUCGUACAUAGACAAUUUCUUUGUUGGAUGUUGAGAGUCGAUAAAUAAACUUGCUUAAGUAGUCGAGGUGUUUGUCUGUAAGCCUUUCGGUUUUCUAGUAUUUUCUUUUUAUUUUUCCCUCCAAAGUGAUAUUGUAUCAUAAGCAAGUAUGCAACUUUAUUACUCAGUAAUUUCAAGCAUCCGAGUAUUGUUGCCUGGCCUGGACCCAAAAAGCAGAAUAAGGAGAUCCUUUGUCACCAUGAGGAAGAGUAAUAUUUUUUUUAGAAAUUCUCCAGUUCUUAUAUUUUAUUUUUCUUACAAAAAAAAUACUAAACUUAAAGUUUUUAGUCCAUGUUUUUUUUACAAUGAAUACAGUUACAAACUAGUCCCCAAUAAAAAAAAAUUUCAAUUUAGUGAAGUAGCAUGUCGUUUAACUAAAACUUAGUAGCAUGUCGUUUGACUGAAACUUUUAGUAUCCAAUAAAAAAUGGGAAUGCCAUUUCUGAAGAAUAGAAGGUUUAAGAAUAUGAGAACAAUUGUUUAGGCAAGACUCCUAAAUUUACUCUCGUAUUUGUGUUAAUUAUUCAUUUUUAUUCUUAUGUUUUUUAUUAUGUUUUGUAAAUUUUUUCAGUUAAUCCUAGUGAUUUCUAAUUUUUUCUAAUAAACCCAGUAAUUAACUUACAUUAAGUCUUGAUUUUACCAUGCAUGUCGAUGUAACUUUAUUUAUUUUUCACUCUUGUAUUUUUAAUUCGAUCAAUUAACUUUUGUGUUUUUUGAAGUAGUUUUUUUAAUCCUUGUGUUCUCUGAACGUGUUGGCUUUGACUCAAUACCUGGUUUUUAAAAGGGUGUUGUUUGUUUUUUUAGAUGUUUUUUAAAAGUAUUUUUUUUAAUAUAAAAUUAAUAUUUUUUAGUGUUUUUUUGAUAAUUUUAAUGUAUUUAUAUUAAAAAAUAAAAAAAAUUAUUUUAUUUUAUUUUUAAAUAAAAAACACUCUGCAUCAAAGUGUUGGAUACACUCUAAUAAGAAUAUAUUUGAUAUUGGAGUAACGAUUAUUUUUCAAAGUGUUUUUUAUUUGAAAAUAUAUCAAAAUCAUAUUUUUUAUAAAAAAAAUUAUUUUUAACAUCAACAUAUUAAAAUAAUUUAAAAAUACUAAAAAUUUAAUUUAAAAUUAAAAAAAUAAUGGUUUUCAAAAACAGUUUUAAAAUACAAAGUCUACGCUACGGCUUCAUGUUAACCAUGCAUGUUAAUAGUGUUGAAAUUAAAUACUUUUUAUCGCGAGAUGACUUUUAUAUUCAUAUGGGGUCUGAACCUUCAAUUAGCUAUGGAGCCAAUUGAACAUAAAAAAAAAAAAAAAAAAUAAACUGAUUCAAGGAAUAAAAAAUGAAAAAGAAAAUAAUUUUAUAUUACGAAACACACGCAUGAUAUUUCAUUGUCUCGAAGAAAAAAAUAAAGAGACAGACUGGCGGCUAUGAGAAAUCCAGAGUGAGAGGAAAGAGAGGAGAAACUGCAUUGCUUUGCACUUUGCAGAGUUGAUCAUCCCAGGAUUGGACACGCAACCAAUGGCAGUCAAUGCCAUGAUUGCCGCGAAGAAAUGACAGAGAGCCAAAAAAAUGUUAGAACGUAGAGGACCAGAUUAUAAUUAAUAAGUAUUCUUGUCGAAAAAAAUGUUAUUUGUAACCAUGUUUUAUAUUUACGGAAAGUAAUUUUUUUAGAGAGUGAUUUCUUUUAGAAAAUAGAUUUUUCAACAAAAAUUAUUUUCUGAUAUUUAUAGGAUCAUAAAAAAAUAAAUUGAAAAAUAUUUUUAGUAUUUAGUUAUGUAAUGAAAAAUAAGUUGGAAAAUAUCUUAUUAAUAAAUGUUUUUUAAAUUUAUUAAAAUAAUAAGAAAUAAAUCUUACAAAUAAAAAAUUUGAAUAAGAAUAAAAUUUUAAAAAAUAUAUCUAAUUUCAUAAAUUAUUUUACAUAAAAUAAAUAAUAAUUAAAAUAAUAAAGAUCAAGUUUAAUAGAUAAAAAAUAAUAAAAUAAUAAAAUUUAAAAAAAUACAAUGAAAAAAAGUUAAAGCCGUUGAUGAUUUAUCCCAUUAUAUUUAUCCAAUUAUUAAGAUUUUAUAAAUUAUUUUAAAUAAAAUAAAUAACAAUCAAAAAAAUAAAGAUCAAAUCCGAUAGAUAAAAAGUUUCAAUUAAAAAAUUAUAAGAGAAAAGCAAAUAAAAAUCAUAAAAAUAAAAAUAAGGACCAAAAUUGAUAUAAAAAUCAAAUUCUAAUGGAUGAAAUUGAAAAAAUAAAACAAAAUAUAUAUAAUAAUCAAAAGUUUGAGGACUAAAUUUGAUAUAGUCAGUAAAUAACAUGACAUUUCUAAAUUUUUAACAACUUCUGAAAAAUAUUUUUCCGUCUAAGUCUAAAAUAGAAGGAACAUAUUUUUUUCCGAAAACAAAGCUAAUUUUUUUUAAAAAAAAAAUAUUUUUUGUUUAUUAACUUUUUUAAUAAUAAAUACACACAUAAAAGUUUUAAAAAAUAAUUUAAAAAAACCACUUUCCAUGAAAGUAACCUUGACAGUGAAAUCAUCGUUAUUAAAUAACUGCCUUUAUUAUAAAAAAAAUAUCAUAUGACGUUGGUUGAUGGUAGCGCAUAAAUCAUAGGUUAAAAAUAUUCUCAUAAGCAGCUUCGCGAGACACCAUAGAAGAGAUUUAACUACUUGAACAAAUGUCCAUUUCGCAAAUUAAAUAAUUUUAUUUUCUCGGAUCUGUAAAUAAACGUCAUUUUAUGUUUAUUUUUUCAUUUUUUUUUUAUCACCACAUCCUUAAAAAUUAAAAAUUUAUGUGUCAUAACCAUCUAGGUGGUGGCUCAGUGGUAAGAGCUUGAGACCAAGAUGUUUACUCUCUCUGUGGUCUCAGGUUCGAGCCAUGUGGUUGCUCAUAUGAUGGCCACUGGAGGCUUACAUGGUCGUUAACUUCAGAACCCGUGGGAUUAGUCGAGGUGCGCGCAAGCUGACCCGGACACCCACGUUAAACUAAAAAAAAAAAAUUUUAUGUGUCAUGUUUUUACAUCAUGAAAUUUUUGUUAUGUAUAUCUUGAUUAGAGAUGAGAAAAAAACUGAAAAACCGAUUAAAUCUAGAUAACCGGAAAAAAAUAAUUGAAAAAAAACCAUUUAGAUCAUUUAAAAUUUUAUAAAAAUUUUGAAAACCGGAAAUUUUUAUUACGUAUAUCUUGAUCUCUUUUUUUUUUUUUUUAGAAAUUCUCUUCAGUUCCUGUAUUUUAUUUUUCCUGCAAAAACAAUUUCUUAACUUAAAGUUUUUAGUCCAUGUUUUUUUUACAAUGAAUACAGUUACAAACUAGUCCCCAAUAAUUUUAUUUUUUCAAUUUAGUUCUUAAAUAUCAAAUCAUAAACUUUGUCGAGAUUCUUCAAAUAGAUAUAAAUUAUUAUAGGAAACAAAAGUAAACAAAAUCACAAUAAUAUCAAUCACAGUCAUGAAAAGUAAUCACAUCCAUGACCAAUUGAACCAAUAAAAAAUUAUCAAGAAAUUCAAGUACCGUUACGAGACAAAUUCGUUCUUAUAAUAUCAUAUAUUUAUUAUACUAUUUUUCUGCUUUUAUUUUUCAUCUCAACUUCUUUGGACUAAAAGCAGGAAAUAAUUUUUUGCAGGAGGAAGGAAAUUCUUAGAGUAAAUAUCGAUAUUACAUUAAAUAAAAUCUAUUUUUUAAACGAGCACAUCUAUUUAAAUUUAUCUAACCCUUACUUUAUUCAUCAAUUCAUUUAAAUUAUUUGAUAAAUUCUGAAUGUUAGAUGUCGUCAUCUAGAUUGAUGAAAAUACAAGAAAUUCAAACCUAACCUAGUUUAUUAAAAAAAAAUCAUGUAAAAAAUAAAUUUUAACAUAACAAGACAUUUCUUUAAUAAAUAAGGUGGGAUUUGAGUUUUUUAAGUAAGUGUUUGCAUGAAAAUAUAUAUUAGAAGAAUAUAUUGGAGAGUAACUAAAUAAAUAUAAAUUAAAAAUAAUUAGACUUGUAAAGAUAGAUUUGAGAUGGAUCUAAAAUAUAAAAAUGAACUGAAAUAAUUUUUAUAAAAAAAGAAAAUCCUAUUUGUUUGGUUUAUAAAUAUGACACGAAAUCCAACCCAGUCCAUGUUAUCGGGAUGGGAAUUAGUCAAAUAUCCUUACUUCUUUUCCGAGGGACUGGAAACACAUGCUAGAUAUGAUAAUUUUUCUAGUGAGAGUAAUUCCUUUGCAUUUUAUAUUCUAUUUCUCACUACUUUGACAAGAAUCCUGUGGUUAAAACAUCACAAGUUCCUUUUUUUUAUUAUUAUUAUUAUUAGUGGUUAAAAAGCAAGGAUGAUACUAGUGAUCUAAAAAGGAGAAGUAGCCAAGAAAUAAUGGCAUGAGGUUGUCAAUGGUGCGAAUAUGAAAUGGACUAGCCCAAGACUUAUCCCUGUGCUCAGUUUGAACCCGGCGACAGAAAUUGUGGUGAGAUUAAUGAGUGAAUAUGAAUGAAUGGCUUAACUGAAGGGGAAAGACUCAUUCAACACAGCUUGCCUGAUCCGUAAGGAGUUCAGUGUUCACAACUUCCCAUUAGCACAAAGAAAUUGUUUUGAUGUGACUUUAUUAGAGGAGAGGUCAUGACUCAUGCCUGGCCAAGCCCAUCGUGCAAGCAACCAGAGAAAGUAGGGCUGUGUGUGUGUGUGUGUGUGUGUGUGUGUGUGUGUGUUAUUACAAGAUGGUUUGUUUUCAUGUCGAACAGUCAAUUCAUUACCACUACCCGACUCAUCAGUUUUCCACAGAUUAGAACAGUUCUGCGCGUCAUUGGUCCGAAUUUUCAAACCAAAGACUUUUCUCCAUUCACUUUUUUCACUUUGGACCCUUGUGUGUGCUUCGGGUUGUUGGAAAGCAAGAAGACUUGUACAUUAAAGUCUUCUUUGAAGGGGAAAAAAAAAUGAUGUUUCCUACCUCUUUCUCUUGUUAAAAUCAAAUCAACUCAACCCCAUCUCCACGUUUUCAGUGUUAUAAUAACUGUGUUCUUUCUCUUCAUUUUUUUCCUCAUUCUCCUUGCAGCAUUCUUCUUGCUUGGUGACUUCUUAUAUGCUCCACACUUCCAUUUCAUCAUCAUCAUCAUCUUCAUCUGGGUAUGUCUCAAAUCUUGUUUUCUUUCAGUGAAUCUCUGAGAUAAGUGAAUUGGGAUUUUAGUGGAUUGUUUAAGAUUCGAGGUUGUUUGUUUGUUGACUUCUCUUUUGCUUUUUCCAAAUUACAUAUUGUUCUGGUGGAUCACUAGUAAAAUUGGAUUGUGUUUUUGGUGGAGUAGUUAGACCUUCUUUCUUGGAUAUAUAGAGAUGGGUUUGAGUGUUUUAUUUAGUAGUACAACUUAGCGAGAACCCUUCACUUUGUAGAUUCCGUUUUGGGCCAGGGACAGAAAGUUUGAGGAUUUUUUUCCCCUUGCUAAUGGCAUUGAGCGAGAAAAAUCCUAUGGUUGUUGCCCAUAUUUUGAUUGGGAUGGUUUUGGUUUUGCUGAGUAGUAGAAUAUCUGUGAGUAAUGCUACUGAGACUGAUUUAGCGUGCUUGAAAUCCAUCAAAGCUUCUCUGGUGGACCCUAAUAACUACUUGAACACUACAUGGAAUUUCAACAACAAUACUGAAGGCUUCAUAUGUAGAUUUAUGGGCAUUGAUUGCUGGCACCCUGACGAGAACAGAGUUCUAAAUAUCCGCCUUUCAGACUUGGGUCUUGAGGGCCAGUUCCCCCUUGGAAUCAAGAAUUGCACAAGCUUGACUGGCUUGGAUCUUUCGCACAACAAGCUAUCUGGCUCAAUCCCUGAUAAUAUCUCAGAUCUUAUCCACUAUAUUACAAACCUUGAUCUUUCAUUCAACAAUUUUUCGGGUGGAAUUCCAAAAAAUCUUGCAAAUUGUAGUUUCUUGAAUGAUCUCAAACUUGACAACAACCGGCUAACAGGCAAGAUUCCGCUGGAACUUGGCCUUCUUGAUCGGAUCAAGGAAUUUACGGUUACCAACAAUCUUCUAUCAGGGCAGAUCCCCUCAUUUGUCCAUAAUAACAUCCCAGCUGAUAGCUUUGCAAAUAAUCUGGACCUCUGUGGAAAGCCAUUGAGUACCUGUCCAGCUGUCGCGAGGAAAUCCCAUGUUGGAGUAAUUGCUGCAUCAGCCGCUGGCGGGAUAACAUUUACAUCAAUUAUUGUUGGUGUCUUUCUGUUCUACUUGUCUCGCGGAGCGGCUAAGAAGAAGGCGGAGGAUCCUGAAGGUAACAGAUGGGCAAAGAGCAUCAAGGGAACCAAAGGCAUCAAGGCAAGCUAUCUAGCUCAUCAUGUUCAAUGGAUAUACUGUGUUUUUUUCUGGCACAGGAAUUGAAUUUCUGUUCUUUUUUUCUGGCCAUGUUAACCCAUCAAUGAUUUCAUUUUUUUAUUUGACGCAACAAAAUAUCUAACAGCAAAGAUUCUGUUAUCAACAGGUUUCCAUGUUUGAGAAAUCGGUUUCAAAAAUGAGAUUGAGUGAUCUCAUGAAGGCAACCAACGACUUCAGUAAUAACAACAUCAUUGGAGCCGGAAGAACAGGACCAAUGUACAAGGCAGUGAUUUCUGAUGGUUGCUUCCUUAUGGUUAAGAGAUUGCAAGACUCUCAGCGUUUAGAGAAAGAGUUUGUAUCAGAGAUGAAGACACUUGGGAAUGUGAAACACCGUAAUUUGGUCCCGCUGCUGGGCUUUUGUGUAGCAAAGAGGGAGAGAUUUUUGGUGUAUAAAUUCAUGGAAAAUGGGACCCUUUAUGAUAAACUGCACCCAGUGGAACCUGAGAUCAGGAACAUGGAUUGGUCCCUGAGGCUCAAAAUUGCAAUUGGAGCGGCUAGAGGUUUGGCAUGGCUUCAUCAUAACUGCAAUCCACGAAUUAUCCACAGGAACAUAAGCUCCAAAUGCAUACUCUUGGAUAACGAUUUUGAGCCAAAGUUAUCUGAUUUUGGCCUUGCCAGACUUAUGAACCCAAUCGACACACAUUUGAGCACUUUCGUCAAUGGGGAGUUUGGGGACAUGGGUUAUGUUGCUCCUGAAUAUCUACGGACACUUGUUGCAACGCCCAAGGGGGAUGUUUAUAGCUUUGGUGUGGUUCUCCUGGAGUUGAUCACUGGUGAAAAGCCCACUCAUGUUGCUAAUGCCCCUGAAAGCUUCAAGGGAAGUUUAGUGGAGUGGAUCAGACAACUGACAGAUGGUCCGCUUCUUCAUACUUCCAUUGACAAGCCUUUGCUUGGAAAUGGAUUCGAUCACGAACUCAACCAAUUUCUUAAAGUUGCUUGUAACUGUGUGGUUGAGAAUGCUAAGGAGAGACCAACAAUGUUUGAGGUGCAUCAGCUCCUCAGAGCUAUUGGGGAGAGAUACCAUUUCACAACUGAAGAUGAUAUUGUGUUGCCAACUGAUACAGGUGACACUGAUUUCCCGGAUGAACUUAUUGUUGCCGAUGCAACAAAGGAAGUUUAAUGAAGAACAGAGGUUAAGAUUGAUNNNNNNNNNNNNNNNNNNNNNNNNNNNNNNNNNNNNNNNNNNNNNNNNNNNNNNNNNNNNNNNNNNNNNNNNNNNNNNNNNNNNNNNNNNNNNNNNNNNNNNNNNNNNNNNNNNNNNNNNNNNNNNNNNNNNNNNNNNNNNNNNNNNNNNNNNNNNNNNNNNNNNNNNNNNNNGCUCAUUUAUCCUCGUACAUAGACAAUUUCUUUGUUGGAUAUUGAGAAUCGAUAAAUAAACUUGCUUAAGUAGUCGAGGUGUUUGUCUGUAAGCCUUUCGGUUUUCUAGUAUUUUCUUUUUAUUUUUCCCCCCAAAGUGAUAUUGUAUCAUAAGCAAGUAUGCAACUUUAUUACUCAGUAAUUUCAAGCAUCCGAGUAUUGUUGCCUGGCCUGGACCCAAAAAGCAGAAUAAGGAGAUCCUUUGUCACCAUGAGGAAGAGUAAUAUUUUUUUUAGAAAUUCUCCAGUUCUUAUAUUUUAUUUUUCUUACAAAAAAAAUACUAAACUUAAAGUUUUUAGUCCAUGUUUUUUUUACAAUGAAUACAGUUACAAACUAGUCCCCAAUAAAAAAAAAUUUCAAUUUAGUGAAGUAGCAUGUCGUUUAACUAAAACUUAGUAGCAUGUCGUUUGACUGAAACUUUUAGUAUCCAAUAAAAAAUGGGAAUGCCAUUUCUGAAGAAUAGAAGGUUUAAGAAUAUGAGAACAAUUGUUUAGGCAAGACUCCUAAAUUUACUCUCGUAUUUGUGUUAAUUAUUCAUUUUUAUUCUUAUGUUUUUUAUUAUGUUUUGUAAAUUUUUUCAGUUAAUCCUAGUGAUUUCUAAUUUUUUCUAAUAAACCCAGUAAUUAACUUACAUUAAGUCUUGAUUUUACUAUGCAUGUCGAUGUAACUUUAUUUAUUUUUCACUCUUGUAUUUUUAAUUCGAUCAAUUAACUUUUGUGUUUUUUGAAGUAGUUUUUUUAAUCAUUGUGUUCUCUGAACGUGUUGGCUUUGACUCAAUACCUGGUUUUUAAAAGGGUGCUGAUUAUUUUUUUAGAUGUUUUUUAAAAGUAUUUUUUUAAUAUAAAAUUAAUAUUUUUUUUAGUGUUUUUUAAUAAUUUUAAUGUAUUUAUAUUAAAAAAUAAAAAAAUUAUUUUAUUAUAUUUUCAAAUAAAAAACACUCUGCAUCAAAGUAUUAAAUACACUCUAAUAAGAAUAUGUUUGAUAUUGUAGUAACAAUUGUUUUUCAAAAUGUUUUUUAUUUGAAAUAUAUCAAAAUUAUAUUUUUUAUAAAAAAAAUUAUUUUUAAUAUUAACAUAUUAAAAUAAUUUAAAAACACUAAAAAUUUAAUUUAAAAUUAAAAAAAUAAUUGUUUUCAAAAAUAGUUUUAAAAUACAAAGUCUACGCUACGGCUUCAUGUUAACCAUGCAUGUUAAUAGUGUUGAAAUUAAAUACUUUUUAUCGCGAGAUGACUUUUAUAUUCAUAUGGGNNNNNNNNNNNNNNNNNNNNNNNNNNNNNNNNNNNNNNNNNNNNNNNNNNNNNNNNNNNNNNNNNNNNNNNNNNNNNNNNNNNNNNNNNNNNNNNNNNNNNNNNNNNNNNAACACACGCAUGAUAUUUCAUUGUCUCGAAGAAAAAAAUAAAGAGACAGACUGGCGGCUAUGAGAAAUCCAGCGUGAGAGGAAAGAGAGGAGAAACUGCAUUGCUUUGCACUUUGCAGAGUUGAUCAUCCCAGGAUUGGACACGCAACCAAUGGCAGUCAAUGCCAUGAUUGCCGCGAAGAAAUGACAGGGAGCCAAAAAAAUGUUAGAACGUAGAGGACCAGAUUAUAAUUAAUAAGUAUUUUUGUCGAAAAAAAUGUUAUUUGUAACAAUGUUUUAUAUUUACCGGAAAGUAAUUUUUUUAGAGAGUGAUUUUUUUUAGAAAAUAGAUUUUUCAACAAAAAUUAUUUUUUAAUAUUUAAUAGGAUCAUAAAAAAAAUAAGUUGGAAAAUAUUUUUAGUAUUUGGUUAUGUAAUAAAAAAUAAGUUGGAAAACAUCUUAUUAAUAAAUGUUUUUUAAGUUUAUUAAAAUAAUAAGAAAUAAAUCUUACAAAUAAAAAAUUUGAAUAAGAAUAAAAUUUUAAAAAAUAUAUCUAAUUUCAUAAAUUAUUUUACAUAAAAUAAAUAAUAAUUAAAAUAAUAAAGAUCAAGUGUAAUAGAUAAAAAAUUAAAAAAUUAAAAAAUUAAAAAAAAUACAAUGAAAAAAAGUUAAAGCUGUUGAUGAUUUAUCCCAUUAUAUUUAUCCAAUUAUUAAGAUUUUAUAAAUUAUUUUAAAUAAAAUAAAUAACAAUCAAAAGAAUAAAGAUUAAAUCUGAUAGAUAAAAAGUUUCAAUUAAAAAUAUAUAUAAUAAUCAAAAAUUAGAGAACUAAAUUUGAUAUAGUCAGUAAAUAACAUGACAUUUCUAAAUUUUUUACAACUUCUGAAAAAUAUUUUUCCGUCUAAAAUAGAAAGAACAUAUUUUUUCCGAAAACAAAGCUAAUUUUUUUAAAAAAAAUAUUUUUUAUUUAUUAACUUUUUUAAUAAUAAAUACACACAUAAAAGUUUUAAAAAAUAAUUUUAAAAAACCACUUUCUAUGAAAGUAACCUUGACAGUGAAAUCAUCGUUAUUAAAUAACUGCCUUUGUUAUAAAAAAAUAUCAUAUGAAAUUUUAUUGUCUCGGAUCUGUAAAUAAACGUCAUUUUAUGUUUAUUUUUUCAUUUUUUUUUAUCACCACAUCCUUAAAAAUUAAAAAUUUAUGUGUCAUGUUUUUACAUCAUGAAUUUUUUGUUAUGUAUAUCUUGAUUAGAGAUGAGAAAAAAACUGAAAAACCGAUUAAACCUAGAUAACUAGAAAAAAAAUAAUUAAAAAAACCAAAUCAUGAAAAAAAAAUCAUUUAAAUCAAUUAAAAUUUUAUAAAAAUUUUGAAAACCAGAAAUUUUUAUUAGGUAUAUCUUGAUCUCUUGUUUUUUUUUUAGAAAUUCUCUUCAGUUCCUGUAUUUUAUUUUUCCUGCAAAAAAAAUUUCUUAGCUUAAAGUUUUUAGUCCAUGUUUUUUUACAAUGAAUACAGUUACAAACUAGUCCCCAAUAAUUUUAUUUUUUCAAUUUAGUUCUUAAAUAUCAAAUCAUAAACUUUGUCGAGAUUCUUCAAAUAGAUAUAAAUUAUUAUAGGAAACAAAAGUAAACAAAAUCACAAUAAUAUCAAUCACAGUCAUGAAAAGUAAUCACAUCCAUGACCAAUUGAACCAAUAAAAAAUUAUCAAGAAAUUCAAGUACCGUUACGAGACAAAUUCGUUCUUAUAAUAUCAUAUAUUUAUUAUACUAUUUUUCUGCUUUUAUUUUUCAUCUCAACUUCUUUGGACUAAAAGCAGGAAAUAAUUUUUUGCAGGAGGAAGGAAAUUCUUAGAGUAAAUAUCGAUAUUACAUUAAAUAAAAUCUAUUUUUUAAACGAGCACAUCUAUUUAAAUUUAUCUAACCCUUACUUUAUUCAUCAAUUCAUUUAAAUUAUUUGAUAAAUUCUGAAUGUUAGAUGUCAUCAUCUAGAUUGAUGAAAAUACAAGAAAUUCAAACCUAACCUAGUUUAUUAAAAAAAAAUCAUGUAAAAAAUAAAUUUGAACAUAACAAGACAUUUCUUUAAUAAAUAAGGUGGGAUUUGAGUUUUUUAAGUAAGUGUUUGCAAGAAAAUAUAUAUUAGAAGAAUAUAUUGGAGAAUAACUUAAUAAAUAUAAAUUAAGAACAAUUAGACUUGUAAAGAUAGAUUUGAGAUGGAUCUAAAAUAUAAAAAUAAACUGAAAUAAUUUUUAUAAAAAAAGAAAAUCCUAUUUGUUUGGUUUAUAAAUAUGACACGAAAUCCAACCCAGUCCAUGUUAUCGGGAUGGGAAUUAGUCAAAUAUCCUUACUUCUUUUCCGAGGGACUGGAAACACAUGCUAGAUAUGAUAAUUUUUCUAGUGAGAGUAAUUCCUUUGCAUUUUAUAUUCUAUUUCUCACUACUUUGACAAGAAUCCUGUGGUUAAAACAUCACAAGUUCCUUUUUUAUUAUUAUUAUUAUUAUUAGUGGUUAAAAAGCAAGGAUGAUACUAGUGAUCUAAAAAGGAGAAGUAGCCAAGAAAUAAUGGCAUGAGGUUGUCAAUGGUGCGAAUAUGAAAUGGACUAGCCCAAGACUUAUCCCUGUGCUCAGUUUGAACCCGGCGACAGAAAUUGUGGUGAGAUUAAUGAGUGAAUAUGAAUGAAUGGCUUAACUGAAGGGGAAAGACUCAUUCAACACAGCUUGCCUGAUCCGUAAGGAGUUCAGUGUUCACAACUUCCCAUUAGCACAAAGAAAUUGUUUUGAUGUGACUUUAUUAGAGGAGAGGUCAUGACUCAUGCCUGGCCAAGCCCAUCGUGCAAGCAACCAAGCAACCAGAGAAAGUAGGGCUGUGUGUGUGUGUGUGUGUGUGUGUGUUAUUACAAGAUGGUUUGUUUUCAUGUCGAACAGUCAAUUCAUUACCACUACCCGACUCAUCAGUUUUCCACAGAUUAGAACAGUUCUGCGCGUCAUUGGUCCGAAUUUUCAAACCAAAGACUUUUCUCCAUUCACUUUUUUCACUUUGGACCCUUGUGUGUGCUUCGGGUUGUUGGAAAGCAAGAAGACUUGUACAUUAAAGUCUUCUUUGAAGGGGAAAAAAAAAUGAUGUUUCCUACCUCUUUCUCUUGUUAAAAUCAAAUCAACUCAACCCCAUCUCCACGUUUUCAGUGUUAUAAUAACUGUGUUCUUUCUCUUCAUUUUUUUCCUCAUUCUCCUUGCAGCAUUCUUCUUGCUUGGUGACUUCUUAUAUGCUCCACACUUCCAUUUCAUCAUCAUCAUCAUCUUCAUCUGGGUAUGUCUCAAAUCUUGUUUUCUUUCAGUGAAUCUCUGAGAUAAGUGAAUUGGGAUUUUAGUGGAUUGUUUAAGAUUCGAGGUUGUUUGUUUGUUGACUUCUCUUUUGCUUUUUCCAAAUUACAUAUUGUUCUGGUGGAUCACUAGUAAAAUUGGAUUGUGUUUUUGGUGGAGUAGUUAGACCUUCUUUCUUGGAUAUAUAGAGAUGGGUUUGAGUGUUUUAUUUAGUAGUACAACUUAGCGAGAACCCUUCACUUUGUAGAUUCCGUUUUGGGCCAGGGACAGAAAGUUUGAGGAUUUUUUUCCCCUUGCUAAUGGCAUUGAGCGAGAAAAAUCCUAUGGUUGUUGCCCAUAUUUUGAUUGGGAUGGUUUUGGUUUUGCUGAGUAGUAGAAUAUCUGUGAGUAAUGCUACUGAGACUGAUUUAGCGUGCUUGAAAUCCAUCAAAGCUUCUCUGGUGGACCCUAAUAACUACUUGAACACUACAUGGAAUUUCAACAACAAUACUGAAGGCUUCAUAUGUAGAUUUAUGGGCAUUGAUUGCUGGCACCCUGACGAGAACAGAGUUCUAAAUAUCCGCCUUUCAGACUUGGGUCUUGAGGGCCAGUUCCCCCUUGGAAUCAAGAAUUGCACAAGCUUGACUGGCUUGGAUCUUUCGCACAACAAGCUAUCUGGCUCAAUCCCUGAUAAUAUCUCAGAUCUUAUCCACUAUAUUACAAACCUUGAUCUUUCAUUCAACAAUUUUUCGGGUGGAAUUCCAAAAAAUCUUGCAAAUUGUAGUUUCUUGAAUGAUCUCAAACUUGACAACAACCGGCUAACAGGCAAGAUUCCGCUGGAACUUGGCCUUCUUGAUCGGAUCAAGGAAUUUACGGUUACCAACAAUCUUCUAUCAGGGCAGAUCCCCUCAUUUGUCCAUAAUAACAUCCCAGCUGAUAGCUUUGCAAAUAAUCUGGACCUCUGUGGAAAGCCAUUGAGUACCUGUCCAGCUGUCGCGAGGAAAUCCCAUGUUGGAGUAAUUGCUGCAUCAGCCGCUGGCGGGAUAACAUUUACAUCAAUUAUUGUUGGUGUCUUUCUGUUCUACUUGUCUCGCGGAGCGGCUAAGAAGAAGGCGGAGGAUCCUGAAGGUAACAGAUGGGCAAAGAGCAUCAAGGGAACCAAAGGCAUCAAGGCAAGCUAUCUAGCUCAUCAUGUUCAAUGGAUAUACUGUGUUUUUUUCUGGCACAGGAAUUGAAUUUCUGUUCUUUUUUUCUGGCCAUGUUAACCCAUCAAUGAUUUCAUUUUUUUAUUUGACGCAAC
rnacentral:lncRNA from 1 species